rnacentral:rRNA from 1 species
UUAAGCGACUAAGCGUACACGGUGGAUGCCCUGGCAGUCAGAGGCGAUGAAGGACGUGCUAAUCUGCGAUAAGCGUCGGUAAGGUGAUAUGAACCGUUAUAACCGGCGAUUUCCGAAUGGGGAAACCCAGUGUGUUUCGACACACUAUCAUUAACUGAAUCCAUAGGUUAAUGAGGCGAACCGGGGGAACUGAAACAUCUAAGUACCCCGAGGAAAAGAAAUCAACCGAGAUUCCCCCAGUAGCGGCGAGCGAACGGGGAGCAGCCCAGAGCCUGAAUCAGUGUGUGUGUUAGUGGAAGCGUCUGGAAAGGCGCGCGAUACAGGGUGACAGCCCCGUACACAAAAAUGCACAUGCUGUGAGCUCGAUGAGUAGGGCGGGACACGUGGUAUCCUGUCUGAAUAUGGGGGGACCAUCCUCCAAGGCUAAAUACUCCUGACUGACCGAUAGUGAACCAGUACCGUGAGGGAAAGGCGAAAAGAACCCCGGCGAGGGGAGUGAAAAAGAACCUGAAACCGUGUACGUACAAGCAGUGGGAGCACGCUUAGGCGUGUGACUGCGUACCUUUUGUAUAAUGGGUCAGCGACUUAUAUUCUGUAGCAAGGUUAACCGAAUAGGGGAGCCGAAGGGAAACCGAGUCUUAACUGGGCGUUAAGUUGCAGGGUAUAGACCCGAAACCCGGUGAUCUAGCCAUGGGCAGGUUGAAGGUUGGGUAACACUAACUGGAGGACCGAACCGACUAAUGUUGAAAAAUUAGCGGAUGACUUGUGGCUGGGGGUGAAAGGCCAAUCAAACCGGGAGAUAGCUGGUUCUCCCCGAAAGCUAUUUAGGUAGCGCCUCGUGAAUUCAUCUCCGGGGGUAGAGCACUGUUUCGGCAAGGGGGUCAUCCCGACUUACCAACCCGAUGCAAACUGCGAAUACCGGAGAAUGUUAUCACGGGAGACACACGGCGGGUGCUAACGUCCGUCGUGAAGAGGGAAACAACCCAGACCGCCAGCUAAGGUCCCAAAGUCAUGGUUAAGUGGGAAACGAUGUGGGAAGGCCCAGACAGCCAGGAUGUUGGCUUAGAAGCAGCCAUCAUUUAAAGAAAGCGUAAUAGCUCACUGGUCGAGUCGGCCUGCGCGGAAGAUGUAACGGGGCUAAACCAUGCACCGAAGCUGCGGCAGCGACGCUUAUGCGUUGUUGGGUAGGGGAGCGUUCUGUAAGCCUGUGAAGGUGUGCUGUGAGGCAUGCUGGAGGUAUCAGAAGUGCGAAUGCUGACAUAAGUAACGAUAAAGCGGGUGAAAAGCCCGCUCGCCGGAAGACCAAGGGUUCCUGUCCAACGUUAAUCGGGGCAGGGUGAGUCGACCCCUAAGGCGAGGCCGAAAGGCGUAGUCGAUGGGAAACAGGUUAAUAUUCCUGUACUUGGUGUUACUGCGAAGGGGGGACGGAGAAGGCUAUGUUGGCCGGGCGACGGUUGUCCCGGUUUAAGCGUGUAGGCUGGUUUUCCAGGCAAAUCCGGAAAAUCAAGGCUGAGGCGUGAUGACGAGGCACUACGGUGCUGAAGCAACAAAUGCCCUGCUUCCAGGAAAAGCCUCUAAGCAUCAGGUAACAUCAAAUCGUACCCCAAACCGACACAGGUGGUCAGGUAGAGAAUACCAAGGCGCUUGAGAGAACUCGGGUGAAGGAACUAGGCAAAAUGGUGCCGUAACUUCGGGAGAAGGCACGCUGAUAUGUAGGUGAAGUCCCUUGCGGAUGGAGCUGAAAUCAGUCGAAGAUACCAGCUGGCUGCAACUGUUUAUUAAAAACACAGCACUGUGCAAACACGAAAGUGGACGUAUACGGUGUGACGCCUGCCCGGUGCCGGAAGGUUAAUUGAUGGGGUCAGCGCAAGCGAAGCUCUUGAUCGAAGCCCCGGUAAACGGCGGCCGUAACUAUAACGGUCCUAAGGUAGCGAAAUUCCUUGUCGGGUAAGUUCCGACCUGCACGAAUGGCGUAAUGAUGGCCAGGCUGUCUCCACCCGAGACUCAGUGAAAUUGAACUCGCUGUGAAGAUGCAGUGUACCCGCGGCAAGACGGAAAGACCCCGUGAACCUUUACUAUAGCUUGACACUGAACAUUGAGCCUUGAUGUGUAGGAUAGGUGGGAGGCUUUGAAGUGUGGACGCCAGUCUGCAUGGAGCCGACCUUGAAAUACCACCCUUUAAUGUUUGAUGUUCUAACGUUGACCCGUAAUCCGGGUUGCGGACAGUGUCUGGUGGGUAGUUUGACUGGGGCGGUCUCCUCCUAAAGAGUAACGGAGGAGCACGAAGGUUGGCUAAUCCUGGUCGGACAUCAGGAGGUUAGUGCAAUGGCAUAAGCCAGCUUGACUGCGAGCGUGACGGCGCGAGCAGGUGCGAAAGCAGGUCAUAGUGAUCCGGUGGUUCUGAAUGGAAGGGCCAUCGCUCAACGGAUAAAAGGUACUCCGGGGAUAACAGGCUGAUACCGCCCAAGAGUUCAUAUCGACGGCGGUGUUUGGCACCUCGAUGUCGGCUCAUCACAUCCUGGGGCUGAAGUAGGUCCCAAGGGUAUGGCUGUUCGCCAUUUAAAGUGGUACGCGAGCUGGGUUUAGAACGUCGUGAGACAGUUCGGUCCCUAUCUGCCGUGGGCGCUGGAGAACUGAGGGGGGCUGCUCCUAGUACGAGAGGACCGGAGUGGACGCAUCACUGGUGUUCGGGUUGUCAUGCCAAUGGCACUGCCCGGUAGCUAAAUGCGGAAGAGAUAAGUGCUGAAAGCAUCUAAGCACGAAACUUGCCCCGAGAUGAGUUCUCCCUGACCCUUUAAGGGUCCUGAAGGAACGUUGAAGACGACGACGUUGAUAGGCCGGGUGUGUAAGCGCAGCGAUGCGUUGAGCUAACCGGUACUAAUGAACCGUGAGGCUUAACCUU